rnacentral:lncRNA from 1 species
UGCCAAAACAUUCUUAUUCCACGGAAUAGGUGUAUCACUCUAACAUAUAAGGGGUAUCCCUUCCAAAAUUUAUUCUGCAACCGAAUGUUAACUUGGUCCUGCAGUUUCAUAGUCCACCUGCUUAAUUUCCAAAUGACCUGCUCCCUCUAAAGCAUGUAUAGUUCUAUCGAGUAAUCAUCACCUUAUCUAGUAGAAUCAGCUAACAAUAUGUCCCAAUAAAUGUUACAUACCUCUCACCAAAUCCAAAUUUCACAAAAAUGGGUGCUAGAUAUGGUCCAAUAUGAUCCAUAUACUUCACUGUCCGUUGCAUUAUGAUUUGUGGAUUCAAUUUACACAAUUUCUUCUGUCAUUUAAAGAUCAAAUAUUUUCUAAUGCUCUUAGUGGUGGCUUGUUUUAACAAAUAAGUGAUGCUUGCAUAGUUACAGCACAAGUUACAACAAUGGAAUUUUAGAAAACCAAACAUAUAGCAAUGCUUGUCAUAUAUGGUACAAUUAUAUAUGUGAAACAUUAUAGUUAUUGUUGUACUCCAACUAUAUCCAUCCCUUUUUCCUAAUGGUGGUAUAUAUAAUAAAACAUAGAAAAUUGUGA